AGGUAAUAGAUACCCGGGUAGUCCACGCCCUAAACUAUGAUUACUAGGUGUGGGAGGAUUCGACCCCUUCCGUGCCGAAAGCUAAACGCAUUAAAGUAAUCCGCCUGGGUAGUACGAUCGCAAGAUUAAAACUCAAAGGAAUAGACGGGGACCCACACAAGCGGUGGAGCAUCUGGUUUAAUUCGACAGUAAGCGAAGAACCUCACCAGGACUUGACAUCCCGAGAAGACUGCCGAAAGGUGGUUGUGCCGCAAGGAACUCGGUGGCAGGUGCUGCAUGGUUGUCGUCAGCUCGUGCCUUGAGGUGUUCGGUUAAGUCCGUAAACGAGCGCAACCCAUGUCACUAGUUGCAUUUCUCUAGUGAGACUGCCGGCUCCAAGUCGGAGGAAGGUAUGGAUGACGUCAAAUCAGCAUGGCCCUUAUGUCCUGGGCGACACAGGUGCUACAAUGGUAGGUACAAAGGGCUGCGAAAAGGUAACUUCUAGCCAAUCCCAAAAGCCUAUCCAAGUUCGGAUUGAGGGCUGAAAUUCGCCCUCAUGAAG
rnacentral:rRNA from 1 species